CGGAAGUGAAUGUUAUGUGGUAAUUCGUGAGUGCGGUGUACGCCACACCAGCUGCCCCCACCGGAGCUACAUAGCUGCUUGUAGUUUGUGUGUGCCGAUACAGCUGCUCCUGCUAUGAGGUGCACCCACAGGUCUAAGUACUAGAGCUCCUCCUACUUCUACCCUCCCAUGGCGGACCUCAACGUGGCCUCCUUCAAUGCCAAGGGCCUGAAUAUCCCCUCCAAACGAGCCCAACACUUUCUCCAACAGAUUCUCCAACACUUCCACAAACGUAUGGACUGGUUCCACUGUAAUGUGUGCCAUACACGUCAGGAGACAACUUUUUACGUCACUAGCUGUGGACAUAUUCUUUGCAAGACAUGCAUCACAGAAGAUUAUUGCAGCGUAUGCAGAACUGCUUGCAAAUAUCUGCCUAUUUCAGAAAGUCUUAAGCCACAAGAGAAAAUAUAUUUCCAAUGUCUUAAAGAGACCGUACAGAAGGAUUUUAACAGUAUUUCUAAGGUAUGGAAUUUUCAAAAGCAACAACAUGAACAUCAUGUGACUUUCUACAAACAAUACAUUACUAAAGUUCAAAAUGCUUACACAGAGGCCCUACAGAAGAUUGAAAAUCAGGAAAAUGAAUUAAAAGCCAUAAAGAAAGAAAAUGCUGAGCUCAAAUCGAUAGUCACUAAUUUAAAGUUACCCCUCGACAAAGCUUACAGCAGUGUGGACAGAUUGCUAGCCAUUCAUCAUCUGCUGAGUCUCUACCAAGUGUUAGAUAUCACUCAGGAGCAGGCAGCGACUGACAUCUCGAGUUACCAAUCACAGACUCCUAAUGAAACAACUUCAGGGUUCGGGGUGAUGGAGACAUUGCUGGGCUGGAGAUUCGAGGAAUAUCACACAAAGUAGCAGCUUAUGCAGACGAUAUGACAUUUUACAUAGCGAAGCCACAGCACCUGCAAGAGAUUCUUUUACCACCCAAAGUAACAACAUAGACCGCCUAAGGGCUAUUCAGCUGAAAUUUACUCCUAAAUUGCUGGGAUCACUCAGCUUGAGAAGACAGUGAUACAUACAGUGGAUGCUUCUAAGUAUUUCUGUGACUAUGUGAACA